rnacentral:rRNA from 1 species
GCUGGGGCAGGGGGUAGCGUGGGGAGGAGGGAGCAGGGGUAGAGGAGCGGCGGCGGCGGUGGAGGGUUAGGUCAGGAGAGGGGAGGCAAGGGUGGGUGGUGGCUGUAACGGUAGGAGGAGUGGGUGGCGACGGCUGGAACAGGGAGGGAGGGGAGUGGUAGAGAGGGGUGGGAUACGGUAUCGCGAGGGAGAGGGGCUAGGGUAGGGAGGACUAAGUCUAGACUGGGGCGGCGGGCACGGGCGCGCGGUGGUGGGUGAGGAGCAGCGGAGGGCUUCCUGCAGGCGGCGAGAAGGAAGCGGGCAGGGCCUCCGGAGUCAGCCGCGGGAGGCGGCGUCCCGGCGGCGCGAGCAGGGCGGGAGCCGCGGCGUAGAGGUGACGGUAGAGGCGAAUAUGUAGAGGCGGGAGCCGUAGGGUGGGUACCGCGAGGCGCGCGACCUGUUGCGUAACGGCCGGCGGCACCGCCUGGUCGCGGGGUUCUUCCGGCGGUUCGACGAGAGGUGCCGUGGAGGACAGCGGCAGCGGGCGAGGGGGUGACCCUCACCUCGGCUGGUACCUCAUGCAGGCCAGGCACCUGGACGACGGGCAGGAGCCGGGGUUUCGGGCCCGGUGACCGGAGCAGCGGCCCGAGCUGAGAUCCCUGACCCAGUACCAGACGCUCCGGGAGUUGCUGCGCGCGACGGAGUGGUAGGUGGUGGGGCAGGAGGAGCGGGGGUAGAAGUAGCCCUCCACCUUCACACGUCGCAACGGCCCCUAUCAGGGUGAGAGUAUGGUCGACGCGUUCGUCGGACGUGGCCGCGGCUUCACCACCACGCGUACUGGACGCGAACACCACAGGUGUUCCUCAAGACGAAACUGGUGGGGGUGACUUAUUAGGACUCUGAGACAAAAACGUAAAAAAAAACUUUCUAGGCCCCAACGGCCAUCGUUCGCCCUUUUGUCACCACUAGUUUACUAGUACCAAUGUACUCUGAGACAAAAAACGUAAUAGCUGCCUAGCCUAACGAGGCAUGGACCGUCUCAGAAAACGCGAAAGGUGAGCUGAUCGUUAAACGGCACGGGGACUGGACUAAAAACCGGUCAACAUUGACGCAAUAAAACGAUUAGUUUCACCAUGAUUAUCUAACCUUAAGUAGUAUCCUUAACUUGAACAAAAGAACUAAGUAAAUAUGAUACAACUAGUAGACCACGUAAUCAUAUGUCAGUAUCAUCUUAGUACCGAGACACAUAUGCAUGAUGACGGACGGUAGUACACGGUGGUAUACAAGAUUCAUUCUGAUCGUCUGAUAAUCACCGAACACAUGGUUAAAAGAGCACGGGUACCAACCGCACGCGACCCCAUUUGUGUACUGGUGUGUGAUCAUUGACGUGUUGAGACUUUACGAACGAUUACUAAUGAGUAGAAACAAUGUGGUACGUACGUGGAUGUCGAUGUCCCUAGACAUGACGAAUGACUUACUUACUUACUACACGUAGAAAGAAGUCAAACUAACUCUUUACGGGGGGAAAGGACACGAAUCUAUACGGGUGAUUCGUUGGUCUUCCAAAGGUAAAGCUACAGAACAGAGGAUCGUCAUACGGAUCAAUGGAGUGGGAGAUUUCUUUUGUACAGGAAUUGACGAUCACAGGUCCUAAUGAUACAAAGACAUAACGACAUCUCCACUGACUUAAACAAGGCAUGUGCGUUCAUACCUGAAGAUCCUUACUAACACACAUGGUAAUAGUGUACGGUACAAAAACUAAUCGUUUUGUAGCAACUGAACCUUGUUCCCAACCAUGACCAAUGACUUACUACACGCAAAAAAGAAAUCAACUUUUUUUAAGGUGGGAAAAACACGUAUUUAUGUAGACGGGUGGUUCAGUGGUUUGUACAACGUUCCGAACCUGUAACCACCUUGAAAUAGAUUACGAGAACAAGAGGACACAAAUGGUCGAAGUUGAGAUCAAUUAAACCAGAUAAUAAUAGGGUCUUCGACGUUACUACCUCUAGUGUGCGAGGAAGCUGGUCGGUACCGAUCGGAGGCAGAAGCCGGGGAGGUUGGAGCGGGGGCUGGAGCGGACGACGAGGAAGCUGGUGUGUGAGGCGACGCUCCGGAAGCUCAUGUUCACCACUGCGACGCGAGGGUGCCACUGCGACGCGAGGAGGAUCGGGGGCAAAGUACCACUGAUCACUACGUUGUGUGGUUCGUCAUUGUCCGUUGGUUCGUCGUCGUCCCCCUCCCCGAGAGAGCUUGUAGCGGCGACGGUGAGUAACGAUGACAGUGACUAACUACUACCUACUAGCAACAAUCAAAUCGAGCCAGCGACAAGCAAAUCGAGGAACCAUCAGGGAUGACGACGACCAUCUUUAUCUUUACCAUCAACAUCAGGGUACAUCAACAUCAUGGUACAUCAAGGAGAUGAGCCCGACGGGAAACAACGAAGUAAAGAUACAAUUAAAUCAGACAACUUACAUAGAUGAUAGAUGAAACACCGACACCGACAACUUUCUUUAUUUUACCAAACCUAUGUACGCAUGUACGACUAUACAGUUCGACCUUAUCGACGG